rnacentral:rRNA from 1 species
UACGUAGGGUGCGAGCGUUGUCCGGAAUUAUUGGGGCGUAAAGAGCUCGUAGGCGGUGUGUCACGUCGUUCGUGAAAACCUGCAGCUUAACUGUGGGCGUGCGGUCGAUACGGGGCAUCACUGGAGUUCGGCAGGGGAGACUGGAAUUCCUGGUGUAGCGGUGAAAUGCGCAGAUAUCAGGAGGAACACCGGUGGUGUAGACGGCUUUUCUGGACCGUAACUGACGCUGGAGACACGAAAAGCGUGGGUAGCAAACAGG